GCAUAAAGGUUAUUGGUGAGAAGAGUGCGAAGAUGGUGACCGACGAAGGUGCAAUAUAUGUUAUUGCAAACAGAGGUUACAACUGGAGGGCUAUUGUCCAGGAAACUGUGUCAGCUACUCUUAACAGGUGAGUUUCCAAUAAUGCAGCAUGCAUGGAUGGAUGGAGUAGUGCUAUUUUUUCAAAUUAUAUGAAGGUGCUGCCAGGGAAGGUGGGAAAGGACCCAGUAUAUGGGAUACUUUCGCUCAUAAAUACCCAGUAUGAAGGUGCUGCAAGGGAAGGUGGAAAAGGACCAAGUAUAUGAGAUACUUUCACUCAUAAAUACCCAGGAACCAAAUCAACCAAUGGUGUUCACGCAAAAGAAAAUGUCAGUUGAGCAGAUUAUAUGCAGCAGGUACACCACCUCAUUUUACCGCUUACUGAAGACAAUAAAAGUGUUACAAGGAGGAAUGAAAGAUGGAAGAAGCCAUUACCAAAGCCAAAUUAAAAGCAAACUUUGGCAUUGGAAUCAUUAUUAGGACCAUGAGGGUGAAAUUUUUGCAAUUGCAACAAAGUUUAUGCCAAAUACUUAUAGUAUCAAAGUGGCAGAAUCUCUGGCCUUGAGAUGGUGUAUUGAAGUCAUGUAAUAAGGCACCAACGCUGCAUUACACAUAUUUUGAUGGCAUUAUCAAAGAUUGCAUUCAAUUGAUGCAAUCUCUUUCAUCACCUAGU